rnacentral:rRNA from 1 species
AUCCGUAACUUCGGGAUAAGGAUUGGCUCUGAAGAUUGAGAUAGUCGGGCUUGAUUGGGAAACAAUAACAUGGUUUAUGUGCUCGUUCUGGGUAAAUAGAGUUUCUAGCAUUUAUGUUAGUUACUUGUUCCCCGGAUAGUUUAGUUACGUAGCCAAUUGUGGAACUUUCUUGCUAAAAUUUUUAAGAAUACUAUUUGGGUUAAACCAAUUAGUUCUUAUCAAUUAUAACGAUUAUCAAUUAACAAUCAAUUCAGAACUGGCACGGACUUGGGGAAUCCGACUGUCUAAUUAAAACAAAGCAUUGUGAUGGCCCUAGCGGGUGUUGACACAAUGUGAUUUCUGCCCAGUGCUCUGAAUGUCAAAGUGAAGAAAUUCAAGUAAGCGCGGGUCAACGGCGGGAGUAACUAUGACUCUCUAAGGUAGCCAAAUGCCUCGUCAUCUAAUUAGUGACGCGCAUGAAUGGAUUAACGAGAUUCCUACUGUCCCUAUCUACUAUCUAGCGAAACCACAGCCAAGGGAACGGGCUUGGAAUAAUUAGCGGGGAAAGAAGACCCUUUUGAGCUUGACUCUAAUCUGGCAGUGUAAGGAGACAUAAGAGGUGUAGAAUAAGUGGGAGAUAUUAGACCUCGGUUUGGUAUCGUCAAUGAAAUACCACUACUCUUAUUGUUUCCUUACUUACUUGAUUAAAUGGAACGUGUAUCAUUUCCUAGCCAUUAUACGGAUAUAUUUAUUAUAUCUUAUGGUAUUGGGUUUUGAUGCAAGCUUCUUGAUCAAAGUAUCACGAGUUUGUUAUAUAAUCGCAAACAAAUUCUUUAAUAAAACGAUGCAUUUAUGUAUUUUUGAUUUGAAAAUUUGGUAUAACUCCAAUUACUCAGGUAUGAUCCAAUUCAAGGACAUUGCCAGGUAGGGAGUUUGACUGGGGCGGUACAUCUCUCAAAUAAUAACGGAGGUGUCCCAAGGCCAGCUCAGUGCGGACAGAAACCACACAUAGAGCAAAAGGGCAAAUGCUGACUUGAUCUCGGUGUUCAGUACACACAGGGACAGCAAAAGCUCGGCCUAUCGAUCCUUUUGGUUUAAAGAGUUUUUAACAAGCGCCUUGGCGAAAACUGGACCUUCAAUAGAAUCCUGGAAGAUCAGCAGAGGAUUCAACGGCUGGCAGCGUUUGCGGACGAGGUGUUCCGUAGGAGGAGGGGUAUUUAGCCCAAAACUUCGCCGUGUGGUUAGCGGGCGAGAAUACUUCCACAGCCCGCUAUUGCUUGUCGUAAGAGGCGACUAAUAUAGCGACUGGUUCCUCUAACCAUGCUUGUCGGAGCAAAAGGAGGAGGCCCACCGAGCCUCUCUUUCGGUACCACGAGUUGUGCUGCUCCAAGACAGCACAUUGAGGUAGGCCCCCUGGUGGGAGUAUCGUGGUGGCUGUGGUUGAUACCCAUAUCGCGGGUAAAGCCUUCGUGUUCGACGUUUG